CCCUUAGACGUUCUGGGCCGCACGCGCGCUACACUGACCAGUGCAACAAGCAUCCGUCCUUGGCCGACAGGCUCGGGCAAUCUUUGAACGCUGGUCGUGAUGGGGAUAGACUUUUGCAAUUUUUGGUCUUCAACGAGGAAUUCCUAGUAAACGCAAGUCAUCAACUUGCAUUGAUUACGUCCCUGCCCUUUGUACACACCGCCCGUCGCACCUACCGAUUGAAUGGUCCGGUGAAGCCUCCGGAUUGGUGCGCACCUCGGUGCCGCCGAGAAGUUGGCUAAACCUUACCAUUUAGAGGAAGGUGAANUCGUANCA
rnacentral:rRNA from 1 species